AGUUGGGGAGGCUGGUACGUUCUUUCCUCCACUCCCUGUGAGAGGAAGCCUGGAGUCCCACUCCCCUUUCUGCAGGUGUCUUUUGGUGUGCAGAUGUGCACGCUUUGCAACAAGCUUCUACCAGUUCUCUUGGUAAACGCACUGCUCAAAACCACAACGCUGAAAGCCUAGAAGAGUAAGUCAUGCUGUGGUACCCAGAACCACACGCCUUGACCCAGCUCUCCACCACCUUGUGAGGACAGCAGACCAGCAAAAACUUGCAGAAGACAACACACAGAUGCCAGAGAGAUUACCAAUACCUUGAUGUAUGAAGACCUGAGCCUUAUUCCACUGUACACAGCAACACAAAUAAAGAUACUGCUGCUGAACUCUAAGAGAUUUCAGUUUGCUUCACACUUAUUCGCUGGCUCCAGAUUCAUGAAGGAAUAUUACUGUUAAUAGCACAUCAGCAGAGCAAGGCUCCGCUUCUUCCUGUUGAGCUCAUGAUGUUCCAUCACCGUCCACUGCACACCUGAGCUUCGUUCUUCAGCAGUACUCAAAGAUCUGGUCUAUGGUACUGAAGAGGUCUGUUCCAGACUGAUAAUAAAUCUGCAAUUUUG